AUUGAACGCUGGCGGCAGGCCUAACACAUGCAAGUCGAGCGAGCGGCGGACGGGUGAGUAAUGUAUGGGGACUGCCCGAUAGAGGGGGAUAACUACUGGCAACGGUAGCUAAUACCGCAUACUAUCGGAUAACCCAUAUGGGAUUAGCUAGUAGGUGAGGUAAUGGCUCACCUAGGCGACGAUCCCUAGCUGGUCUGAGAGGAGGAUCAGCCAAACGGGGACUGGGAAACGGCCCAGAGUCCUACGGAGGCAGCAGUGGGGAAUAUUGCACAAGGGGCGAAAGCCGGAUGAAGCAAUGCCGCGUGUAUGAAGAAGGCCCUAGGGUUGUAAAGUACUUUCAGUCGGGAGGCGUUACCGAAAGAAGAAGCAACGGCUAACUCCGUGCCAGCAGCCGCGGUAAUAC
rnacentral:rRNA from 1 species